GACGAACGCUGGCGGCGUGCUUAACACAUGCAAGUCGAACGAUGAAGGAGGAGCUUGCUCCUCCGGAUUAGUGGCGAACGGGUGAGUAAUACGUGAGCAAUGUGCCCUUGACUCUGGGAUAAGCGCUGGAAACGGCGUCUAAUACCGGAUACGACCCUCGGAGGCAUCUCCUGAUGGUGGAAAGAACUUCGGUCAAGGAUCAGCUCACGGCCUAUCAGCUAGUUGGUGAGGUAACGGCUCACCAAGGCGACGACGGGUAGCCGGCCUGAGAGGGUGACCGGCCACACUGGGACUGAGACACGGCCCAGACUCCUACGGGAGGCAGCAGUGGGGAAUAUUGCACAAUGGGCGCAAGCCUGAUGCAGCAACGCCGCGUGAGGGACGAAGGCCUUCGGGUUGUAAACCUCUUUUAGCAGGGAAGAAGCGAAAGUGACGGUACCUGCAGAAAAAGCACCGGCUAACUACGUGCCAGCAGCCGCAGUAAUAC
rnacentral:rRNA from 1 species